AGAGUUUGAUCCUGGCUCAGGACGAACGCUGGCGGCGUGCCUAAUACAUGCAAGCCGAACGGUCUUUUCUAUGGAAGCUUGCUUCCACUGAGGAGAUAGUGGCGAACGGGUGAGUAACACGUGGGUAACCUGCCCAUAAGAGGGGGAUAACAUCCGGAAACGGGUGCUAAUACCGCAUAGUUUUCUUGAUCGCAUGAUUGAGAAAGGAAAGACGGCCUUUGUGCUGUCGCUUAUGGAUGGACCCGCGGCGUAUUAGUUAGUUGGUGAGGUAACGGCUCACCAAGACGAUGAUACGUAGCCGACCUGAGAGGGUGAUCGGCCACAUUGGGACUGAGACACGGCCCAAACUCCUACGGGAGGCAGCAGUAGGGAAUCUUCCGCAAUGGACGAAAGUCUGACGGAGCAACGCCGCGUGAGUGAAGAAGGUUUUCGGAUCGUAAAACUCUGUUGUCAGAGAAGAACAAGUUGGAGAGUAACUGCUCCAGCCCUGACGGUACCUGACCAGAAAGCCACGGCUAACUACGUGCCAGCAGCCGCGGUAAUACGUAGGUGGCAAGCGUUGUCCGGAUUUAUUGGGCGUAAAGCGAGCGCAGGCGGUUCCUUAAGUCUGAUGUGAAAGCCCACGGCUCAACCGUGGAAGGUCAUUGGAAACUGGGGAACUUGAGUGCAGAAGAGGAGAGUGGAAUUCCAUGUGUAGCGGUGAAAUGCGUAGAUAUAUGGAGGAACACCAGCGGCGAAGGCGACUCUCUGGUCUGUAACUGACGCUGAGGCUCGAAAGCGUGGGGAGCAAACAGGAUUAGAUACCCUGGUAGUCC
rnacentral:rRNA from 1 species